AUUGAACGCUGGCGGCAUGCUCUACACAUGCAAGUCGAACGGUAACAGGCCGCAAGGUGCUGACGAGUGGCGAACGGGUGAGUAAUGCAUCGGAACGUGCCCAGUCGUGGGGGAUAACUACUCGAAAGAGUAGCUAAUACCGCAUACGAUCUAUGGAUGAAAGCGGGGGACCGUAAGGCCUCGCGCGAUUGGAGCGGCCGAUGUCAGAUUAGGUAGUUGGUGGGGUAAAGGCUCACCAAGCCAACGAUCUGUAGCUGGUCUGAGAGGACGACCAGCCACACUGGGACUGAGACACGGCCCAGACUCCUACGGGAGGCAGCAGUGGGGAAUUUUGGACAAUGGGCGCAAGCCUGAUCCAGCAAUGCCGCGUGCAGGAAGAAGGCCUUCGGGUUGUAAACUGCUUUUGUACGGAACGAAACGGCUCUGGUUAAUACCCGGGGCUAAUGACGGUACCGUAAGAAUAAGCACCGGCUAACUACGUA
rnacentral:rRNA from 1 species